UGACAUCACAUCCUGCUUGGGCCUUGUUGUGGGCUUUUCUUUGCAAAAGAGGGCAAAAUAGCGCGUUUGCUGCAAAGGGAGCGCGGAGCAGCAUUUGCAUCUUGCAGAGCAGGAAGGAGGGGAAGAAGUGGUGCUUGUGCGGGGAGCCUGCCCGGGGGCUGAGGGGGCGGCUGAGUGGGCUGCAAGGGUGGAGAACUGGAACAAAGAGGCUCUCCUUUCUCUCCCCCUACGCCAGCCCGUUUGCAACAAAGAACCGCGAGUGGGGUGAGGGAGAAGCAAGAAGGAACGAAAGAAAGGAAAGGAAAGGAUGCAGCAGUGAAGCUUCCUCUGCAAUAGAGUCCGGGGGAGCAGGAAGCAGCAAGAAGAGGCGACGGGCGAAACAAAGCAUCUGGAGACAGAUCCCAUCCUGUAAUUGAGGGAAUUAUGUUCCGGUUCAUGAGAGAUGGGGAGCCAGAAGAUCCAAUGUUUGUAAUGGACCCUCUUGCCAUUCACCACCAGCAUGUGAACCGCGUGCUCUCGGGUGGCUUUGGUUAUGGCCCCUUCCUCAGCAUUGGUAAUGGGACCAUACCUACAACUCGCCAGGCGAGCCGCAGGAUGCAGGCAGGAGCUGUUUCGCCUUUUGGGAUGCUGGGAAUGACAGGCGGCUUCAUGGACAUGUUCGGGAUGAUGAAUGACAUGAUUGGAAACAUGGAGCACAUGACCAGUGGAACAAACUGCCAGACGUUUACCUCCUCAACUGUCAUAUCGUAUUCAAACCUGGGGGAAGGGCCCAAAGUUUAUCAGGAGACAUCAGAGACACGCUCUGCACCUGGCGGGAUCCGGGAGACAAGGCGGACAGUGCGAGAUUCGGAUAGUGGGCUGGAGCAGAUGUCUAUUGGGCACCACAUCCGGGAAAGGGCACACAUCAUGCAGCGCUCGCGUAACCAUCGCACAGGGGACCAGGAGGAGAGGCAAGACUACAUUAACCUGGAUGAAAGUGAUGCGGCCGCAUUCGAUGAUGAAUGGAGGCGAGAGACAGGCCGCUUCCGGCCACAGAGAGGACUGGAUUACCGGCGUCACGAGGGAAGCAACGGCCGCAGGGCCGACGGGACCUGUCUUGCUAUUCAGGGACCAGAGGAGUCACCGACCAGACAGUCCCGCCGGUACGACUGGUGAAUCCAGAGCAGACUUAAGGGGGGGUGCGAUGCGGUCACCCCCAAAUCUACCUUCAUGUUCUUGUACAGACAGUGAAACUGAUGGCGAAGCCCCUACCAAACAUCACUUUGGACCUUCCACAAGUCGAAAACUAGCUUCCUCCCCCACCCCCCUUAAGAUUUAAAUUGACUAACUGUCUCACAGCAGCGUUAUACUUUGCGAAGAGUGUCUGGCCAAGGGAAAUGUCGGGGACUUAGUCCGUAAAUGAGCAACACGGUGAUUUGACUUCGUUCUCUUUCCUCUUAACUCUUCCCUGCCUUUCAUUGAUCUCCCUACGUCUGUUCCUUCCCCUUUAGUGUUUUGGGGGGGAUGCAGGAAUGAUCCCCUUUGAGUUUCUUGGCAUCCCUUCUGUAUCUCCUGCUUCCAAGUUUUGGCUGGUUCUGGAGUUUGUAUUUAAUCGACCCACCCACUUCCCCAAGCACCAGCCACGUAGGCAAAUCUUACUGACUUGCUAUUAGAUUCAAGCACUUGGAAAUAACCUUCUAGUUGCCUCUGCUCUUGUCUCGCCUGCCUGCCCUGGAAGUGGGGUAUGUUUGAAAGGUUGCAAGGGAUAUGCGGGGGUGGGGGUGGGGGGUGAGAUGUGGACAAACCAAACAUGCCCUACCUCUUGCACUGGUCCAGUCAACUCUCCCCUGUCUUAUAAAAUAUGAUUUUUUUUUUGGCAAAACUUGUAACUAGAUGUUUCCAGAGUUGAAUAAAGAAACCGAGCCUGUAAAAGCAAA